UGGAUGAGAGGAUUGUAUAGCAUGGACCAACAUAAAUUCAUCCAUGUUGGACAUAGCGGAAAAGGCAGGAGUAAACGUGAGGCACGGCAACAUACCAAUGGAUAUGAUCCAAAUGGACAUACCCGAAAGCUAGUACAGAAACUUGUGAACCGAAAGAUGAAACUUACACAAGACCGUUGAAGAUACUAAUGGUAUGUUUCUUUUUAUUGUAACCGUCUAUAUUAAAAGUAAUAUUAAAAAAAAAAUGCUUUACUAUAACCCACUUUUACUCACGGUUUUGAAAUCAAAAUCUAAUAUUUCAUUUAACUCUAAUAUGAGCUUGAUAAAUAUGAUGUACACACUUUUUUAAAAUUGAUGCCUUCAAUUAUGUUGAAGGUUUCAGUCUCAUUACAAAUUGCUAUUGUCAGGCGUCUUUGUUCUCUUUAAGUCAAAACAUAUUAUACUAGUAAGUGUACAGAAUUUAUUCUUGAUUACACAUUUUUAUGUGUAAUUUCUUACCUGUAUAAGGAAAUCAAUUUUCAAUAAAACUGAACUCUUUAAGAAGAACUUAAAGUAAAAACUAAAGAAGCACGCUAGGGAACAAAAUCAGACAUUUUCAUGAUAAAUAAGUCGGUAAAAAAUGACUAUUUUAUAUUUUGUUGAAAAGAGAGGGAUGGAUUGGAGACCGGAAAUAUAUUUGUGGAUUGACUUCAUUUUUAUACAUUGCUUUUUUUCUGUGGCUUUUCUUUGAUUCUCUAGUUAAAAUGUGAAAUCAUUUUAACACAUAUGUCUUGAUUACUAUGUAAAUACUUUAUUAUUGUACAAAAUUGUUAAUACUUGUAAAAUCUUCGAUCAGAAGGAAAUAAAGUCAAUACUUUCAUAUUUCAGAAAAAAAUACUGGAACACGACACUACGGACACAAUAAGGAAAGAACGACGCAAAUGGACAUGGAUGAACAUGAUGAUAGUGGAUGGUUUCCAAGAAAAAUGGAAUCAGUGGCAAAAUUGAUCGAAAACAUUUUAAUAGUUGAAAAUAUUACUAAGUCUUAUUUCAAAGAACAGUUUUGCAGAUUUUAGUUGCUUUAUUACUAUAACACAACUAAAUGUAUAAUUGUGAAUGUUUUUCACAUGAAUAAAAAUUGGUAAAUAGAUCAUUUUUGUUUUAUAAAAAAAAUAUAAAAUACUCGCC
rnacentral:lncRNA from 1 species